rnacentral:rRNA from 1 species
CUAUACAUGCAGUCGAGCGGACAGAAGGGAGCUUGCUCCCGGAUGUUAGCGGCGGACGGGUGAGUAACACGUGGGUAACCUGCCUGUAAGACUGGGAUAACUCCGGGAAACCGGAGCUAAUACCGGAUAGUUCCUUGAACCGCAUGGUUCAAGGAUGAAAGACGGUUUCGGCUGUCACUUACAGAUGGACCCGCGGCGCAUUAGCUAGUUGGUGAGGUAACGGCUCACCAAGGCGACGAUGCGUAGCCGACCUGAGAGGGUGAUCGGCCACACUGGGACUGAGACACGGCCCAGACUCCUACGGGAGGCAGCAGUAGGGAAUCUUCCGCAAUGGACGAAAGUCUGACGGAGCAACGCCGCGUGAGUGAUGAAGGUUUUCGGAUCGUAAAGCUCUGUUGUUAGGGAAGAACAAGUGCAAGAGUAACUGCUUGCACCUUGACGGUACCUAACCAGAAAGCCACGGCUAACUACGUGCCAGCAGCCGCGGUAAUACGUAGGUGGCAAGCGUUGUCCGGAAUUAUUGGGCGUAAAGGGCUCGCAGGCGGUUUCUUAAGUCUGAUGUGAAAGCCCCCGGCUCAACCGGGGAGGGUCAUUGGAAACUGGGAAACUUGAGUGCAGAAGAGGAGAGUGGAAUUCCACGUGUAGCGGUGAAAUGCGUAGAGAUGUGGAGGAACACCAGUG